UACGAAGGGUGCGAGCGUUAAUCGGAAUUACUGGGCGUAAAGGGUGCGUAGGCGGUUGUUUAAGUCUGUCGUGAAAUCCCCGGGCUCAACCUGGGAAUGGCGAUGGAUACUGGGCAGCUAGAGUGUGUCAGAGGAUGGUGGAAUUCCCGGUGUAGCGGUGAAAUGCGUAGAGAUCGGGAGGAACAUCAGUGGCGAAGGCGGCCAUCUGGGACAACACUGACGCUGAAGCACGAAAGCGUGGGGAGCAAACAGG
rnacentral:rRNA from 1 species